rnacentral:lncRNA from 1 species
CAGUCUCCUGAUUAUUGAAUACAGCUGUUUGUGCUAUCUCACUAGUGUUUUUGAAACAGUCAAUGUUUUUCUGAGGACCACUAGUUUGGAUUGGGGUUGUUAGUUUUAUGUGUAGCAAAGCUAAAUGUUAUCAUAUUCAAUUUUAAAUAAGUUGCUUCAUUCUGUGUGUAAAACAAAAUAAUUUCAAUAUACUUGAUUUCAUAGUUAACUAAUGUAGAGUUGAUCAAAAAAUAUCUUCCCUAGUAUGAUGCACAGAGAUUAGAUUAGACUGUUACAGAAUAAUGUGAUAAUAAUGAUUUCCUUAAGAGAGUACAAAAGCAGCAUCUAAGUUUUAACUGACAUCUAUUGACACACAGCAUCAGUUGGGAGCCCAAUCAAACCUCCUAUUCUUUUCUGUUUACCACCUCCUGCUUUUAUUUACAGUCAGCAUAUCUGUUAAUUAGCUUCAGGUAGAAUCAGUUCUUCUAAGAAGAUCUCUUGUCUUCCUGGUGAUGGCCCCAUGAGGUGACCCAUGUACACACAGUCUCAAUCUGUAUUUGGACAAUUGUGGGCUUUGACUCCUGUUGACUUCAAUGUCAUAGACACAUCCCAGUGAGCUCUCUGCAUCUUGUGGUUACCCCUCAGGAUGGAAAACUACAUUUUCUUGUAGUU